rnacentral:rRNA from 1 species
GACGAACGCUGGCGGCGUGCUUAACACAUGCAAGUGGAGCGACGAACCCGGCUUCGGCCGGGGGCAAAGCCGCGAACGGGUGAGUAACACGUGGGUAACCUGCCCCGAUGAUUGGGACAAUCCCGGGAAACCGGGGCUAAUACCAAAUGUGCUCACGUCCCAUAAGGGACGUGAGGAAAGGAAGCUUCGGCCUCCGCAUCGGGAGGGGCCCGCGGCGCAUUAGCUUGUUGGUGAGGUAACGGCUCACCAAGGCUUCGAUGCGUAGCUGGUCUGAGAGGACGAUCAGCCACACUGGGACUGAGACACGGCCCAGACUCCUACGGGAGGCAGCAGUGGGGAAUCUUGCGCAAUGCGCGAAAGCGUGACGCAGCAACGCCGCGUGCGGGAAGACGGCCUUCGGGUUGUAAACCGCUUUCAGUUGGGACGAAGCUUCGCCGGUGAAUAGCCGUGCGGAGUGACGGUACCUUCAGAAGAAGCCCCGGCUAACUACGUGCCAGCCGCCGCAGUAACAC